AACUUUCUUAUUGUUUUCUAACUCACUUUGGUGGUGUUUUAAUCUUAGGAAAGUAAGUGACAAAAUCAAUUACAGGAUGAAUAGUGAUCUACAGGGUGAAUAGUGAUCUACAAGGUGAAUAGUGAAUUACAAGGUGAAUAGUGGAGUCACUCAAUCACGAAGUCAAGACGAUUUUCAAACUUUUCGAUCGAGUGAUUUAUUUCCAGGGAAGUAACAGUUCGAAAAUUUUGAUAACGGGUCACUGCACGUUUUCGGUCAAGUCCAAGGUGUGAUUGAGUACGUGGAGUGGGCGAAAUCAGGCCAUCACUUCCCAAUGACAAAACCGGUGAAGCCCACCUUGUCCCCCAUGACAAAAAUGUCAACAAUUCUAUAGUUCUUACCACCCACCUCUCAUCACGUUUUUGCCAAGGGAAGAGCUCUCCUCACCUACGUACCUCACCUACGUAAGGAGCGCAUCUACCUCCUCCUAUUCCUAUAAAUACCAAUCUCCUCAUCCAAUGUUAAUCACACACAACAACAUCUCUCUCUCUCUCAUACUCAAUCGCAAGCUUCUCUGUCUUUAAGCGAUGCCUUCACUCGAUCGCAAGCCUCUCCACCCUUGGAAGUUUACUUCACUCGAUCGCAAGCUCCCGACGCCUCGCCCUCUUUCACUUGGUCACAACCCUGUGACGCUCAACCGCCCCCAACAUCUCACUUAGAAGAUCUUAAGCCAUCCUCGUCAAGUUCACUCGAUCACAAGCUCAAGACACCCGAUUCUCACCUCUUUCCACUCGAUCACAAACCCGCAACGUCUCCACGUUUGUUUCUCUCCCUCUUUUACUCGAUCGUAACCACUCUGAGCUCAAGUCCACCUCUUUCACUCGAUCACACUACCGCCGAAGUUCAGGAAGUCACUUCUCUCACUCCUCUUCCUUAGAUUUGAUAAAGUUUAGUUGUGAGUUUUGAAUCAAUUUCAGGAACAAUGACCUCAUACAAUUAUGAUUAUCCAAUGGAUGCUGAUUUCAACGGUGAUGAGGCAGAGUCAUGGUCAACAAGACCAGAGAGAGAAGCGAAGGAAUACCAACGUUUCCGAGAAGAAACGGAGCGAGCCGCUGCCAAUGACAGGAGAAGAGAAGAGAUAGCCAGAGGGAAGAGGUCAAUGACAGAGAAUUAUGAGCCAAUCGAUGAAGAGAUGGAAGAUGACGCGGAGUAAAUUCUGGAGCAAACCCGUAAGACCACCAAGUCUUUGAUGAAAAAAGACAAGCUGACCCCGGGAGACUACUACAAGGUUCUCAAAAGAAAUCCAUUUUGGAGAACAAGAUAUCCUCACCCGGAGACAAUAGCGGAGUUAGGCAUCCUGGAGGACGUUCAGCUCUUGUUCGAGAAAUGCCACAUGACAACACUCAUGUCUCAUCCCUAUCCUACCUAUGAGGAUGACACACUUCAAUUCCUUUCAUCACUUCAAGUGGAAUUGUUUGAGGGGUUGUCAGCUGCUGAGUUAAGAGAAGAAGGGCUUGGUUACUUAAGCUUCACUAUCGACGACCGCGACUAUAUCAUGGCGAUCAAGACUCUGGAAACCAUGUUCGGGUUUCCCAGUUGCACGGGAAUGAAACCGAGGUUUGCCCGAGAAGAAUUAAAAUCUUUGUGGAACACGAUCGAAGACACCACCAGCUUCAACUCCGCUAGAUCCAAGAGCAACUCCAAUCGCAAUCCCGCCAUUCGCUAUUUUCAGAGAACCAUGGCCAAUGUCCCUUACGCUAGGGAGAUAUCCGCCACUGUGAUGAAUCAAGACAUGGAUACGUUAGACCUAGCGCUGCUGAGUUUCCUCUGUUACACCAAAGACAGGAAAACGAUGAAAGGAGAUGCCAAUGACACACCCCCGUCAAUGUAUCUCCUCAAUCACCUAUGCAGCUAUAGAGGGUGGGCGCUGGCCAAUGACAAGAAGAACGCAAAAGGAGCCCUUUGCAUUGGAGAAGUGGUCACACCAAUCCUCCUAUCGUGCGAUGUCCCGCUGCGACCGGAUCUAAUCCCACCACGUUGGAUGGAUAUCGUCCAUCUCAAGCUUGCCCAUGUGAUCGAGCAUAAGGUCUAUGACAGGAGGUACGCUUUCAAGUUUGAUCACCCAUCAACAGGAGAAGCAACUAUUCUUCUCCCAUUCAGUGAAAUGACAACCAUCACGGUGAGAGACAACAUCGACUUCUCGUCAUCACAAGAAAUCCUCCAUGCUGUGAUUGGAGGAUCCGCGUCCCGCAAUAUUGAAAAAGUAGAAGGUCAGAGUGACAAUGAGGAGACCAACUAUGAGAACUAUGACACUAGCUGGUACCACAUUGAAGAACACAAGCCCCCUUCACGAGAAAGCAAGAGUCUCGCUGAAGCACACCGGAAGCUCAGUCUAACCCAAAGGUGGUGCAAGUUUCAAGAUAAGAUCAUCCAUAAGUGUGUCAAAGCCAUUGACAACAUGCAGAAGGCACUCAACUGCACCACAUCCACCAGUGCGAUCACCAGAGACAACUCGCUAGAAGACAUGCCAUCCAGGCGUCAUGACAUUGCUCCGCCAAGGCAAUCUGCUUAUCAACAGAGAGAACUCGCUGCCCGGCAAGAACCCGCACAACACUCGUCUCACGAGGUCAGGGAGCACAAGAGGAGGAAAAGCGCUAGGAUGGUCGGAUCAUGAAGCAAGGGUCGGAUAAUGUCGGGCCAGAGUGUCGUGCUCCACAACCUACUGGGGUUGCGAUCGAGCAUAACUACGAGGAGAUGGCUGAGCCACAUCAAGAACCGGUCAUGCAUGCGGAGUACACUCAAGCAUAUAUGGAUGACUACAUCUCAGCACAUUCUACUGAGGUAACACACCAAAACCCUUUGUAAAUACCGCUUUUGUUUUUGUUUAUAUGUUUAUCUUGAAUUCUUUCACAAAUUUUGAUUACACAAGGGACAGUUAAUUUAAGUUUGGGGGAGGGUUCAAGACGUAUUUGACUUGUUUUUUUUGUGAAUAUCUUUUGAGUCUAAAUAUCAUCUAAGUCAUAGAAAAAAUAAAAACAAAAAUUGAAAUUUUUUGAAAAUAAAUUCCAAAAAAAAGAGUGAUCAUUUAGUUGCAUUACAUUUAGGAUCGAGUCUCGAGUGUUUCAUAAAGGAUUGUUGCAUAUGCAUAGGGGAUAAUGAGGAAAUAGCCUUGUAAGCAUGAUGAUUCACUAAAAUGAGUUAUUAGUUCUUUGAGGCAUUUGAAUGCAUGUCAUGACACCUUUUCCUGUCAAUUUGAACUUGAAUCUGACUUAUAAUUAUCAUGUUUGCAUCGUUUUUGAACUCGUGGAUAGAAUACAUAUUUGGAUUUUCUUUCACUUAUUCACCACUCUUGUUAAUCCAAGUAGCUGCUUCUAUUAUUGGAGUAGUUCCCCCACCCUUAACCAAUCCUUCUUUCAAGCCAUGUUAUUUUGUGAGAGCAUGUGAGGCCUAUUUUCAGGAUUGAGCUUGGUAGAACGUGUUAGGUUUGAGCCGACAAGAGUAGUAUCUCAUGUAGUUCCAAUCCGCGUUUUCGGACUUGGUAGGACUAGGUGGGAACUUAUUUGGGGAUUGAGAUUGAGUGUGAAGAGAAAAAGGAAGAAAAAAAUGGGUUAGAGUCUUUAGGAGAAGGAAGCUGAAAAUCAUAUUGAGGUCUCGUGAAUGUUUGGGAAGCACAGAAUUCUUAAGAUAUGCUCUAAAAAAAAAUAUGGCAACAAAACAGAAAAGAAAAAAAAUUAUAAGAGCCAUAAGAGUUUAAGAAAAACUCAAUUCACUAGACUAGACUCAUAGAGUUUAAGAAAAGCUUCUCCUUAAGAACAAAAGUCAAAGAAAAGAAAGGAAACAUUGAUCCAAAAAAAAAUCGAAAUAUGCCUUUAGUGCAAAAGGGUAGACUUAGGAUCAUCAUUAAGUUUAGAGAUAUGACCAUCUACUUGUUAUUCACGGUUUAUGUCAUUGGGUAGAUGGGGUGCUAUUCUUGUAUACAUAGGUUGGCACUUACCUUUGGCAAUCUUCUAAAGCCCAGUCCUUUUUAAUUGAGAGUCCCCUGCUAUUAAAAUCUGAACCACUUAAAAGGGACCAUCUUUGUCUCAUAACCUGUCAGUAGUUGCGCUUAUUGCUUGUUUCACUGGCUAAUGUGGAAUAUGAAUCCAGACGUCCAACGCUCAAAAGGCGUUUAAUGGACGUUGGAUCUAUUAAUUCCAGAGAUAUUUGCCUCUACCCCGAAGGGAUUGGCUUGUAGAGAUGGUAUUGGCUUUAACAAUUUGAUUCGAUAUUGCCUACUUAGUUAGAGAUCGCUAAUGAGAAUUAGAUCAGUGUCUAGCUUUGCUUGAGGAUUUCUAUCAAAGGAGUGAAUUAAUCUGUUGUUGAACUUGUUGUCUAGGGAUAGCUUCUGUGAAGUUUUGUCAACCGCCUGAAUAUAUUUAGGAGGCGACACUAUUCGAUUACCCCAUCCUUAGGAAUCGUUUAUCCAUUUGACUGCCUGUUAUCAUUUCUGCUUUGUUAUUCACCUACCUGUUAUUGCCAUUUCUGCAUUUAGUUUCAUUUCAUUUCUGUUAUUGCAUAAUAGGACUGUUAAUACCAACCAACUCUCUGCUUGGCUUGACUUAGAGCCUGUUAAUCAUAUCUCAUAUGUUUGCAUCACACCGGACUUGAUUGACAACCUAAAAUACUACAACGACAUGAUAGUGUUUUAGGAUUAAUUGAGUAAAAUCCUACUAUCAACUUCUAACACUGAACCGACGAUGAAGGAGGCUGUUCCGGAGCCUCUUCAAUAAAUGUCCCCCGAAUUCGCUGCUUAUUUUUUAUUUUCUUUUGAACUCGUUAUGGGCUCCGGCCCAUUUAAUUUGUGGAAAAUUUGCUACUCUCCUUGAUCUCGAAAUAUUCAUUUUGGAGAUAUGCUUUAAAUGCAGGGCUUACUGGAAGGCGUGAGUCUUUCUGCGAAUCACUCCAGUCUUAAAUGGAAUUGCGAUCUCCUAGGGUUACAAAAUCCCUAUAAAUUGUGGUUCCAAGUUUUCCUUACUUUCUAUCUACCCCUUCUUUUCCUUUUUUGCAGCAUUGGAGUUUAACCUUCGAUGCUCGGAGUUCAUGCCAGACUUUUCUAGGGUCGGAAUGAUGGAUGAAGAUAUCCCAAAUGUGCCAGGAAGUGGGCCUUCACCACCUCGCAGCUUCUUCAGGUCCCAAAUCCGAGGUCCAUGUGCACUGAUCAAGGGACUUUUGGACAGAGACCAAGAAAUCGCGAUGGCAUUCAUCAAAGCUCUUACGGUUCAGCAUCAGAAGCGUUCGUUGGAAAAGAGGAAGCUCCGAAAAAAGAUUAACCGAAUGUUACGUAUAGUCACCGUAAUAUCAAGGGAACUUCACAACCUCAACUCUCAUCUCGGGGAUUGGAUCGAACUUGGAAUCUCCGAAUUCGCUCGCAUCCCGGAUUGUAUGAUGCCGAUCAUCUAUCUUGCUGGCCAAGGAGUCCAAGUGUUUUGUACGUCGAGAAGGGUUUCUUAACUCGAAAUGUAUACGUGGUGAAACUCAUCUUUUUGCUUAUUGCUUGAAUAAAUGUCGUUUUAUAUCCUGUAUUUGUAUAUUCGCACAGUCGAACUUUACUUUUCUUUGUUUGUUCGCAUAAUCAAACUCCUUUCCCUUUUAAUGAAUAAAACAAAAUUUUAUUAGUAGCUGAACUCGUUUCCGAGCUGCCUACGUACCAAUUUCGGAUCAAGCCACACCGUAGUUCAUGUACAUAACAAAAACGCGAGUUAAUUUGAACAUAAAACUUCUUUAAGUUCACCACAUUCCAAGAACGUUGGACUGGCCUGUCUUCUCAAUCCUUUAAUCUGUAAACACCAUUCUGAACCACUUCGGUAACAAUAUAAGGUCCUUCCCAAUUAAUGCCGAGCUUGCCUGGUCCUUCUUCCUUCUUAUUGUCAAAAACACGCUUUAGCACGAAAUCUCCUACAAAGAAAGGCCUGCUUUUAACUUUGGUAUUGUAAUGCCGAGCUGCUGCUUGCUGAUAGUUUUGAAUCCGGAUUAAGGCUUGAUCUCACCUUUCAUUGAUAGUAUCUAACGAAUCAUCGAGCAUCGCUGAGUUUUCCUUUUCGUUUAGGGGAGCCUCUGUUCGGCGAAGUCCAGGCACGUUGAGCUCGGCCGGAACCACUGCCUUCAUCCUGUACACCAAAGAAAAUGGAGUUUCCUCGGUAGAACGCCUAAGAGUUGUGCAGUAAGCCAAUAAAACCGGUUGGAGCUCAUCGUACCAUCCUCCCUUCAAAUGACUUAGGCGCUUUUUUAGGUUACGUAGGAUUGUCUUGUUUACGGCUUCGGCUUGGCCAUUUCCUUGUGGGUACGGUGGAGUAGAGUAACUAACUUUGAUUCCCCAAUCCAAACAGAAAGCUUCGAAUUUGUGUGAAAUGAAUUGUGGUCCGUUGUCUGUAAUUAUCUCGUAUGGGACACUGUGUCGACAUAUAAUGUUUUUCCAAAUGAAGGUUUUUACCGCCGAGUCCUUGAUGCUCAUGUAUGCUUCAGUCUCAAUCCAUUUUGAAAAGUAGUCAGUUAAGACCAAAAGAUAUUGCACGCCUCGGGUUGACCUGUGCAAUGGUCCAAUGAUAUCCAUCGACCACCUCAUGAACAGGUAUGGGGCAGAGAUGGAGGAGAAUAACUCCGAAGGCUGAUGGAUAAGAGGUGCAUGAAGUUGGCAACCUUUACAUCGUUGGGCGUACUUAACACAAUCUGUGAUCAUAGUGAGCCAGUAAUACCCCAUUCUUUUAAUCUUGAAAGCCAUGGCCCUUCCUAACGAAUGAAUGCCACACAAACCUUCGUGUACUUCGCUCAUGACGAUCUCGACUUCGAGCCCAAAAAUGCCCAAUAGAUAAGGAUCGCUGACACCUCGUCUAUACAAAGCAUCCUUUGAAAGACAAAAUUUUGCGCUAACGAUUCUCAUUUUCCUAGCUUGCCACUUAUUUUUUGGGAGCUUGCCUGUCACAAUGUACUACUUUAUUGGCUCCCUCCAAUCAGCCCUCCAAUCUUUAGCCAGAAUUUGGUCGAUCUCGUGGAAUAUUCAUAGUUCUGGUUCGGGAUGCUCAUUUGGCUCAAGGAUAUCUUCCUCGAUUAGUGGCUCGGUUCUUAUAAUUGUUUCUGGAACUGCAUCUUCUGUCGGAUUGAUGGGCUCCUCGCUACUAUUUUCUUUUGACACGCCGGGCCCGGGUAUGGUUGAACCAUUUGACUUUCUUCAUUUGACAGGUGGCAACUCUAUCUCGGGUUCACCAUGAUCACGUAUAGCUGCUUUGAAAUGACGAGGGCUUCUUUUUUUCUCUUUAAUGCUUACUCUGAAAUACAUUCCACCGGGAUGACUCUUUUAACCUUAGGAUCCGAUGUUGAUGCUAAAGCAGCAAGUGCAUCCGUAGUCAUAUUUUCUCCACGAGGUAUGCGAAUGAGUUCGAACUUUUUGAAGCUUUUAGUCAGAUCUUUAACUACAUUGAGAUAUGCUUCCAUUCUUGAAUCUUUGGCUUCAUAAUCUCCAUUGAACAUUGAACUGGUUAACAACUAGUUGCGAAUCACAAUAAGCGAGUACUACUUCGGCUCCAAUUCCUUGUGCUAGCCUAAGUCCUGCGAUUAAAGCUUCAUAUUCUGCCUCGUUGUUAGUAGCGUUAAAUAAAAUCGGAAUGCUUGUUCAAGAAUUUCCAAUGUUGGAGAUUCGAAAUUAUUCCCACUCCGGACCCUUCUUUUGAUGAAGAUCCGUCUACAUGCAAUUUCCAAGUUUGACUCUCCGGUUGCUCUAGUGCGCCAAGUACUGAUAAUUCGGUCAAGAAAUCUGCUAAAACUUGGGCCUUCAUGGCGACUCGGCUCUUUUACUCUAUAUUAUACUCACUUAACUCCACUUCCCACUUCGCUAAUAUUCCGGACUGACUUGGACUAUGAAGAAUUUUUUGAAGUGGCUGGUUGGUUCAAACUUCGAUUUGAUGAGACUAGAAAUACGAACGCAGCUUCUGGGCAGAGGUUACAACCGCAAGUGUGAGAUUUUCCAUCAUUGUAUAUCUGGUUUCUGGAUCUGUCAUGUAGUAAAUUGGUUUUUGUUCUCCACGAUCCUCCCGUAUCAAGACUCCGCUUACUGCAUGGUUUGAUACAGAAACGUAUAAGUCGAGCUUUUCAUCCACUUCGGGUUUGGACAAUACGGGUGGUGUGGUUAAGUACGCCUUAAGCUGUCCAAAUGCCUCUUCACACUUCUCAUCCCAAAGAAAUCCUUUGUUUCCCUUUAGAAAUUGAUAGAAGGGUAAAGAUUUAUUUGUUGAUCUUGAAAUAAAACAGUUUAAAGCUACAAUCCGACCAGUUAACCGUUGUACUUCUUCGAAGUUUCUUGGAGACGACAUGUUGAGAAAGGCAUUGAUUUGAUUCAGAUUGGCUUCAAUUCCUCUUUUCGUCACAAUAUAACCAAGGAAUUCCCCGGUGCAUUUCGCCGGGUUCAGCUUCAUUUUGUAUUGAUUGAGAAUCUCAAAACAUUCUUCUAAAUGCUUAACGUGGUCCUUUUUCUUCAACGACUUGACCAACAUAUCAUCUAUGUAAACUUCCAUCGUCUUCCCAAGAUAUUCGUGGCACAUUUUGUUGACCAAUCGUUGAUAAGUAGCUCCUGCAUUUUAAAACCAAAAUGCAUUACCUUAUAACAAUAAAUAUCUCUAUCGUUGAUAAAUGAUGUCUUCUCUUGAUCUUCGGGAUUCAUCAUUAUUUGAUUAUAACCAGAGAAGGCGUCCAUGAAAGUUAGUAACUCGUUCCCAGUGGUUGAUUCCACAAGACGAUCUAUAUGCGAAAGUGGGAAACUAUCCUUCGGGCAAGCUUUAUUGAGGUCCGUAAAGUCGAUGCAUACCCUAUCCUUUCCAUUCUUCUUUUUGACCACGACGUUGUUUGCCAUCCAAUCCGGGUAUUGCACCUCCCUUAUAGAUCCUAUCUUUAAAAGCUUGUCCACUUCGUCAUUUACCGCCUUUGCUUGUUCCACUCUGAGUUUUCUUAUUUUUUUGUUUUACAGGUUUAAAGCUUGGAUCCACGUUUAGCUCGUGGUAGAUUAUGCUUGGAUCUAUGCCAUACAUAUCCGCUGCUGAGCACGCAAACGAUGCUUUAUUUUUCUUCAAGAGUUCUAUUAGGACUUCUUUUAUUUUGCCGGUUAGAGUGGCUCCAAUUCGAACUUUCCAAUCUGGUUUAUCCUCCUCUAACAUUACUUCGAUCACCACAAUAUCCACUUUCUGCCCACUCAGAAAUCUUGGGAUUAUUCCUUUCUUCGCGGGCUUUGUUAAUUGCUAUUGGAUCUUCAGACGAUGGCUGACUAGAUAACAUGUGCGCAAAGCUUCUUGAUCUCCCUGAAUGGUUUCUACUCCACUUGGAGUUGGAAAUUUGAUGCAUUGAUGAUACGUAGAGGGGACCGCCUUCAUUUGAUAAAUCCAGGGAGUCCCGAGGAUGAUGUUGUAAGUUGUCGGUUUAUCAAAAACGACAAAGUCCACAAUUUUCGACAUCUUUCCAGCUAGAACUCGUAGCUUGAUUGUUCCAAGAGACAUGGCUGAUUCGCUCGUGAAAACCACCAAAGGAGAUGGAGGUCCCACUAUGUUUGCCCGACUAAUUCUCAUUCUUUCCAAUGUACCUAGAAAGAUUAAAUCAACCGAACUACCCGUAUCGACGAGAAUUCUUGACACUUCAAAGUUAGCCACGUCGAGCGUAAUGACUAGAGCAUCAUCAUGAGAUCUUUCGAGGUGCCGCGUUUCUUCCUCGUCAAAUGAUAUUGAAGUGCCUUGGUAAUUAACUUCUUCUCUCAAGCUUGAUUUCAGUAGAACAUUUUGCCUAUGCUUUUAAAUAGCACUAAUAGAAUCUCGGCAAAGUUUGGAGCCUCCAAGGAUCACAUUGAUCUUCCCCUUCGAACUCCUUGGUUCUUCUUUGUUGGUCAAUCUUGGCCUUUUCGAGUUUUGAACUGGAGAGAUCUCCACUGGCCCAUAGCUCUGCGAGAUGCCUUUUAAGGACACUACAAUCUUUGGUUAGAUGUCAUGUUACCCUAUGCAUGUUGCAGUAUAGACUUUCGUCUCAGACCCAAGUGUUUGACUUUCCUUUUCCUUGGAACUGCUUCCCGACAUUGUUAUUGAAAGGUUGCGACCCAAACUUCCUUGGCCCUUAGUUUUCCCUGGGCUCGAAUUUCUUAGUAGGGAAAGUGACCGCCGGUUUUGCUGGCUUAUUCCUUUUUGCAAAGAUUUCUUUUUUGUCUUCUACUUCCAUCCAAUUGUUUGCUCGAAAAAGUGCAUCUUGAAUUGUGUCCGGUUUGUGAAAUAUUACACUAAAAGAAAACAGGCAAACGACGACUACGAAAGGCGACUAACAAUGUAGUCGUCCUUUUGUGCAACUACUUUACGACUGAUGGACGACGUUACGGCAACAUAUAAAUUGGUCAUUCCGUAGUCGUAUUUUAGCGACUACAAAAAUUAGUCGGUCAAUGGUCGUCCAAAUACGACUAUUUGACGACGACAUUACUGAAGGAAAUAAGUAGUCGUAAAGUAGUCGUACGUACAUUGACGACUACACUUCUGACUUUAAUAUUAAGUCGCAAAAAAGGCGACAAUAAUACGACUACCUUUUGUUUGUCGUCAAAUAGUCGCAUAAUUAUCGUAUAAUAUGGUUGGAAAAUGUUUUUCGCGUUGUUGGGUAGGUAUACCUAAUUUUGUAGCGACUACAGUGUGUAGUCGUAAAAUAGUCGUAAAAAUCCUCUAUAUAAUGCACGACACUCUUCAUUCUCAUUCACCAACAAAUCAAAACAACAUCAAAAGAAAAAAAAAAGAUUUCAAAGAAAAAAAUAUAAGUUUAGUUUAUGGUAUAAUGGCGGUAAACUACAAUUAUGGCGGUGGUGGCGGUUUAUAUCGAGAUUGGAUGUAUAAGAGAUUUGAUA
rnacentral:sRNA from 1 species